rnacentral:rRNA from 1 species
GUCGAACGGUAGCACAGAGAGCUUGCUCUCGGGUGACGAGUGGCGGACGGGUGAGUAAUGUCUGGGAAACUGCCUGAUGGAGGGGGAUAACUACUGGAAACGGUAGCUAAUACCGCAUAACGUCGCAAGACCAAAGAGGGGGACCUUCGGGCCUCUUGCCAUCAGAUGUGCCCAGAUGGGAUUAGCUAGUACGUGGGGUAACGGCUCACCUAGGCGACGAUCCCUAGCUGGUCUGAGAGGAUGACCAGCCACACUGGAACUGAGACACGGUCCAGACUCCUACGGGAGGCAGCAGUGGGGAAUAUUGCACAAUGGGCGCAAGCCUGAUGCAGCCAUGCCGCGUGUAUGAAGAAGGCCUUCGGGUUGUAAAGCACUUUCAGCGGGGAGGAAGGUGUUGUGGUUAAUAACCGCAGCAAUUGACGUUACCCGCAGAAGAAGCACCGGCUAACUCCGUGCCAGCAGCCGCGGUAAUACGGAGGGUGCAAGCGUUAAUCGGAAUUACUGGGCGUAAAGCGCACGCAGGCGGUCUGUCAAGUCGGAUGUGAAAUCCCCGGGCUCAACCUGGGAACUGCAUUCGAAACUGGCAGGCUAGAGUCUUGUAGAGGGGGGUAGAAUUCCAGGUGUAGCGGUGAAAUGCGUAGAGAUCUGGAGGAAUACCGGUGGCGAAGGCGGCCCCCUGGACAAAGACUGACGCUCAGGU